rnacentral:rRNA from 1 species
CCCAGACUCCUACGGGAGGCAGCAGUGGGGAGUAUUGCACAAUGGGGGAAACCCUGAUGCAGCGACGCCGCGUGAGCGAUGAAGUAUUUCGGUAUGUAAAGCUCUCUCAGCAGGGAAGAAAAUGACGGUACCUGACUAAGAAGCCCUGGCUAACUACGUGCCAGCAGCCGCGGUAAUACGUAGGUGGCAAGCGUUGUCCGGAUUUACUGGGUGUAAGGGCGUGCAGCCGGGCUGACAAGUCAGAUGUGAAAUCCCGCGGCUCAACCGCGGAACUGCAUUUGAAACUGUCAGUCUUGAGUACCGGAGAGGUCAUCGGAAUUCCUUGUGUAGCGGUGAAAUGCGUAGAUAUAAGGAAGAACACCAGUGGCGAAGGCGGCUUACUGGACAGUAACUGACGUUGAGGCUCGAAAGCGUGGGGAGCAAACAGGAUUAGAUACCCUCGUAC